rnacentral:rRNA from 1 species
GUAGGUGGCAAGCGUUGUCCGGAAUUAUUGGGCGUAAAGCGCGCGCAGGCGGUUCUUUAAGUCUGAUGUGAAAGCCCACGGCUCAACCGUGGAGGGUCAUUGGAAACUGGAGAACUUGAGUACAGAAGAGGAAAGCGGAAUUCCACGUGUAGCGGUGAAAUGCGUAGAGAUGUGGAGGAACACCAGUGGCGAAGGCGGCUUUCUGGUCUGUAACUGACACUGAGGCGCGAAAGCGUGGGGAGCAAACAGGGAUUAGAUACCCUGGUAGUCCACGCCGUAAACGAUGAGUGCUAAGUGUUAGGGGGGUUUCCGCCCCCUUAGUGCUGCAGCUAACGCAUUAAGCACUCCGCCUGGGGAGUACGGCCGCAAGGCUG